rnacentral:lncRNA from 1 species
AAUCAUUUAUUAAGCAUUGCCCUGGCCUAAGACACCACAUGGGUCAUUUCUUCCAGGCUCCAACUUGCUUCUGCUUUGCCAUAUGGUAACACGCCGUAUUAUGGAAGCACCAUCAUUACCGCCAUUUGCAGGGGAAGCCUAAAGAGAUAAAUGCCAGCCAGCAUCCCUGUCUCUGGGGCCCUGGAGAGGCCUUCAACACACCUGGCCUCACUGCCCUGUGGCUUCAACAAAGAGGCCGAGCAUCUCCUAUAAACCUUGAGGUCCAUGGAUGACAUAGCGGAAUGAUGGAUUUCAGAAAAGCACACUGCUGUUACGACUCCAGAACCGAUAAGGAAGCUAUGUGUGGAAGUAUGAGCUCAGGUCGCCUUCUGACCCUCUGUGACGGUCUAUUUCAGGCAGUUAUGGAUAGAUAACAUUACAGACACUGGUAAUUAAAACAACACUAAUUUUGUCUCUGUGGUCACGCUUUGUUGUUAGAAGCCAUCUAUCAUGGCCUUCACGCAUCACGCAAUGAGAAGACAUUUGUCUACGUACAUUGUGCUUGGUCAACGGUUUUACGGAUUUCCCCGCGUACCUGGACACCCAGGCACUUUUAAAGACGUACUGCCUUCAUUUCUACUCUAUUACUCUGAUUAAUAAAACAUUUUGCAUGCUUCAUCAAAA